rnacentral:rRNA from 1 species
CUACGGGAUGCACCAGUGAGGAAUAUUGCACAAUGGGGGGAACCCUGAUGCAGCAACGCCGCGUGGAGGAUGACGCAUUUCGGUGUGUAAACUCCUUUUAUAUGUCAAGAAAAUGACGGUAGCAUAUGAAUAAGCACCGGCUAACUCCGUGCCAGCAGCCGCGGUAAUACGGAGGGUGCAAGCGUUACUCGGAAUCACUGGGCGUAAAGGACGCGUAGGCGGGUUGGAAAGUCAGGUGUGAAAUCCUACAGCUUAACUGUAGAACUGCGCUUGAAACUUCUAAUCUAGAGUAUGGGAGGGGGAGAUGGAGUUAGUGGUGUAGGGGUAAAAUCCGUAGAUAUCACUAGGAAUACCUAAAGCGAAGGCGAUCUCCUGGAACAUUACUGACGCUAAGGCGUGAAAGCGUGGGGAGCAAACAGGAUUAGAUACCCCGGUAGUC